CCUACGGGUGGCAGCAGUGGGGAAUAUUGCGCAAUGGGCGAAAGCCUGACGCAGCGACGCCGCGUGAGGGAUGAAUGUCUUCGGAUCUUAAACCUCUGUCAGCAGGGAAGAACGGUCACUGUGCUAAUCAGCAGUGAAUGUACCGUACCUGCAAAGGAAGCACCGGCUAACUCCGUGCCAGCAGCCGCGGUAAUACGGAGGGUGCGAGCGUUAAUCGGAAUUACUGGGCGUAAAGCGCUCGUAGGCGGUAGGUCAAGUCAAGGGUGAAAUCCCGGCGCUCAACGGUGAAACUGCCUUUGAAACUGGCAGACUGGAGUGUGUGAGAGGAUAGUGGAAUUCCAGGUGUAGGAGUGAAAUCCGUAGAUAUCUGGAGGAACAUCAGUGGCGAAGGCGACUAUCUGGCACAUAACUGACGCUGAGGAGCGAAAGCGUGGGUAGCAAACAGGAUUAGAUACCCUUGUAGUC
rnacentral:rRNA from 1 species